AGCCUAGUAUUUCCUCCCAUUCACGCCUAUAUCUGGGGUGUCGAAAGACGAUGGCGCUGAAACUCAGAGCGGACUGCGGGCAGACCCGGGGGCAGUACCCGGCGCCUCCACCUUAGCAGCUUGAGCUUAAAGGUCUCAUUUCGGUGAGAUCGAUUCCGUCGCAAGGCGGAAUUCCUAAGCUGUUAAGGCGGGGGCGAAACAGGAUCGAUGGUCGCGAAGAAGCUCUGAAUUGUUCCCGGCAUGAUACCGCCGUUAUCGGGUCAAAAACCUAAAUGCAAACGAUAACGUUGCAUUGAACGAAGUGCGCCUCGCGGCGUAACCUGUUCGGGGUAGGUACCACCUGGCAACAGAACGGCCAUCGCC
rnacentral:tmRNA from 1 species